AAUGAACGCUGGCGGCAUGCCUUACACAUGCAAGUCGAACGGCAGCAUGACCUAGCUUGCUAGGUUGAUGGCGAGUGGCGAACGGGUGAGUAAUGCAUCGGAACGUGCCUUUUAGUGGGGGACAACGUAGCGAAAGUUACGCUAAUACCGCAUAUUCUCUGAGGAGGAAAGCAGGGGACCUUCGGGCCUUGCGCUAGAAGAGCGGCCGAUGUCGGAUUAGCUAGUUGGUGAGGUAAAGGCUCACCAAGGCAACGAUCCGUAGCGGGUCUGAGAGGAUGAUCCGCCACACUGGGACUGAGACACGGCCCAGACUCCUACGGGAGGCAGCAGUGGGGAAUUUUGGACAAUGGGCGCAAGCCUGAUCCAGCCAUGCCGCGUGAGUGAAGAAGGCCUUCGGGUUGUAAAGCUCUUUCGGCUGGGAAGAAAUCGCACCCUCUAAUACAGGGUGUGGAUGACGGUACCAGCAUAAGAAGCACCGGCUAACUACGUG
rnacentral:rRNA from 1 species